AUUGAUACAAAAUAAAGAUGAAUUUAAAACGAGAGUUAAAACAUUGUUAUUUUCCUGAGGUUUUACAUUUUAGUUGUCUUACUUAAAUUUGAUAACACUAUUUUCCUAAACAGUUCAAUUAAAUUAAGAGAUAGAUUUAAUUAAGAAAAAUAAUGUGUUUUUUUAACACUGGAUAAUUAUAUUUUCUUAGGAAAACUUGUUUUCAAAGAAAUGAUAGGCAUAAAUUCUUAAGGAAGUAUAAUGUUUCAAUCUAGUACAACUGAAAUAAACCAAUUUUAACUUAAUAGAUAUAAAGAAUAUGGAAUGGUUUAGUUUUACCAUAUAAUUAUUAUUUAAAAUUACAUAUUCAUGGUUUGGUUAUAAAACAUAAAAUUAAAUAAAACAACAACAAACAUACAAUACUAUAGUUAUAUUAAAAAAAAACAAUACACUACCUAAAAUAAAGUAAAAUACUUGUAUAAAUUACACAAUAUUGCAUGCGUGUGAUUACUUGCUUUAUAACCUCGAAUGUAUAAUAUGCAUCAAACCAAAAAUCAAAUUACUUUCUCAACAAUGGCUAAAAAAUGUUUUCGAAAAGCAAGUCUACAUGAAAACAAACAUAUAUAUAUAUAUAUAUAUAUAUAUAUAUAUAUAUAUAUCUUAGUAGAUACAGUAAUAAACUACUAGAUAAAAUUGGAAUUAUAUAUAUACUUAGUUUAAAACCUUUUAUAUUACAUGAACAAGGUUCAUAAUAAUAUUGCUCAUAAGCUGUGCAAUCAUAAAUAUUUCUAUUCAUGUUUGCUUUCAAAAACUUUACGAGACCUCUAAGAAUGUGAUUGUCCAUUGAAUAAUACCUCUUUGUAAACCUUAACCAUGAUUGUUUUUCGAAACAUAUGUUUAUUCGUCAUGUAUAGUUUUAGCUUCGGCUACUUUGGAAAAAUUCAUUUCUCAGUCAUUUUUGUUUUUGUUUUUGCUUUUGCUUUUUCUCCUUUGUAAGCAUUCCUAGCAAACUCAACAGAUUGAACUAUAAGUAGGCAAAUGCGACGGACCAAACAUUGAGGUUUUAUAAACUGGCAAGAACAAAAAAAAUUAGUUUGGUUAGCUUCAGAUUGUUAGUAGAAACUAUUAAAUUUGAUUUCAAUCAUUUUCCGUGUAUUUAAGUUAAAUAUGAAUAUAAUAAUCUUAUGUCGAUUUGUUUUUAAGAAAAAAUUAAAUUAAAUAUUUUUUAAUCAAAUUUAAAACAUUAAUACAUAAUAUAGAUGAAUUUAAAACGGUAAUUAAGACAUUGUUAUUUUCAUGUGGGUUUACAUUAUGUUUUGCUUUACUUAAUUUGAUUGCACUAUUUUCCAUAAAAAGUUAAAUUAAAUUAAGAUAUGGAUUUAAUUGCCAAAAACCAUGGCUUAGUAUUCCAAAACAAGUAAAUAAGGAACUGUUAUGAUUCGAGAAAGGCAACUUUCUUUUAUUGUGCAACUUGAAACUUUCCCUUUUGUUUCAAGGAAAAACAAGAAAAUGAAAGAACACUACUACUUGCCUCAGGUAACGUCAAUACAUGUCACACCAUAAAUUCUAUAAAUAGAAUCUAAUGUGUCUUAUCUUCACCAGCAACAAAGUCUUAACAAAACCUAAGUCUCUCUCUCUCUCUCUCAUUCUCUCCAAACAUGUUGGUUUAACAGGAUCUUCUUACAGGUACACCACGAUGUUUCUCUAGAAUUUGUUGAUGUGUAUGUGUUAGUGUCAGAAGAUAAACUAUAUUGAUCAAUCAUUCUAGUUGAAACUAUAUUAAUAAAUUUAUUGUUAUGUGACUAUUUACUCAUCAGUGGGUUGUGAGAUUGAUUUUAUUGGGUAUUAAUGUUUAGGAACAACCAUCAUUCGAUAAGAAACUAGUCCCUAAGCUGGACUCAGAAAAGCAAGAGAUGUUCAAGAAACACAUUGAGGGUGCUACCAAGUUUUUGGUGUCAAAGCUCAAAGACUUCCAAUUCUUUGUGGGAGAAGGCAUGAACGAUGAAGGGAGCUUAGUGUGAGCUAAGUGUUUGCUUAAAACAAGGAGGGAGCCACUAAUCCUACUUUUCUCUAAGGAGAUCAAGUGUUGGUUAUUUCUCUCUUUUCUUUUGUUUAUUUACUCUGCAAAGCUACAAUAUUUUUCUCCCAUGAAUAUUAAGAUCGUUUGCAUUAUGUUUUAAUUUUUAACACAUUAAAUACUUGCAUAAUAUACAUACGCUGACACAGAUUGAUACAAACUGAUAAGAAGGUAAUGAUUUUUUCUCACAAACACAGUUCAACAAUAAAAAGAUGGUACACCGUAUAAAAUUCAUUUUCUUGUCUCAGAAGAAAAGAAGAUGAACACAACUAAAUGUAUUUCGAUAAUACAUAUCCUGAUUUGAAAAUAUGAAAAUAUCCAAAUAGGAAUGCAACACUAGUUGAAAGAUGAGAGCAAACAAAAAUAGAGAU